UUGAUACAAUGAUGAUUUCAUAGUUCAACAGAUAACCAUGACGAAGAAACUAUUGUCUUUCGCUCCUAACUGAUGCAUCAA